rnacentral:rRNA from 1 species
UUCGGGAAUGCUGACGACCGGCGCACGGGUGAGUAACGCGUAUGCAACCUUCCUGUAUCAGGAGGAUAGGCCUUGGAAACGAGGAUUAAUACUGCGUAAUAUUAUUUUAUCGCAUGGUAAGAUAAUCAAAUUUACGAAGGAUACAGAUGGGCAUGCGUACCAUUAGCUAGAUGGUAAGGUAACGGCUUACCAUGGCUAUGAUGGUUAGGGGUUCUGCAAGGAAGAUCCCCCACACUGGUACUGAGACACGGACCAGACUCCUACGGGAGGCAGCAGUGAGGAAUAUUGGUCAAUGGAGGCAACUCUGAACCAGCCAAGCCGCGUGAAGGAAGACUGUUCUAUGAAUUGUAAACUUCUUUUGUGACAGAGUAAAGAUAGCUACGUGUAGUUGUUUGCAAGUAUGUCAUGAAUAAGCAUCGGCUAACUCCGUGCCAGCAGCCGCGGUAAUACGGAGGAUGCAGGCGUUAUCCGGAUUUAUUAGGUUUAAAGGGUGUACAGGCUGUCUGGUAAGUCAGAGGUGAAAGUCGGUUGCUUAACGAUCGAAUUGCCUUUGAAACUGUCAGACUUGAGUAUGGAUGUGGUAGGCGGAAUGUGUAGUGUAGCGGUGAAAUGCAUAGAUAUUACACAGAACUCCAAUUGCGAAGGCAGCUUACCAAACCAGCACUGACGCUGAAGCACGAAAGCGUGGGUAGCGACCAGGAUUAGAUACCCUGGUAGUCCACGCAGUAAACGAUG